AUUAGUGGCCAUUGCUUGGGUGUGGCUAUAAAAGCCUGGAAGUGUGCAAUAUCUGGAGAUUGUGAAUCGCUACCUCCUGUGCAGAGUGGCUUCCUGUUUCUUCCGCGCCUGGUGUUGUGAUCAUCUCCUCCUUCGCUGACCUCGAGAACGGUGGUUCACUCUAGUUCCAGUGAGGACGCACGUUCCCGCGGCAGCCUGUGUCUCCGAGUAACGCAUUGUGCUAUCCUGGAGGGGGGCUAGUCACCUGGUGGUGGAGUCCCGUCAGUGCAUAUUCACGCGUGAUCAUUGGUUGCUGUGUGGUUGCUGUGUCACUCUGGUCACUUUUCGUGUGCUGUGCCGUGUUUGCCUUCACAAGGGUGGUGUGAGUCCUGAAGCACACUUCCCAGUUAGCCUGCCGCCCCUCUAAGGUAAGUCUCUGCCUGCUAUAGUUUGUUUCCAUUUAAUUCCCUUCCCUAGCGUGUUUGUCAGCCCUGAACCUCAGGGUGCUGAUUGUUUAAGCCCUUUUAUUCAUUAUUAAAUAAAUGCCUUUUCUACUUUGACUAACCUCUCAGUCUGUCUAGGUCCAUCUCUCCCUCUAUAAGCAUACACCUCAUAAUUACAUAUCUUUAUAAUAAAUAACAUAUUGUGGAAUUCACGACUCUUGUGUGGUGUGUUUCGAACCUGUUCUUAAGGGCUGAUGUGCCUAUUGGGACAUUUAGUUUAAAUAUUCUCUGGGUGCAAUUCCCAGGGUGGCGUAGUUGGCUACUUAAACAGGGCUGUGGGGUUCCCCCUUAUAGCUCCUGUUACAUAAAGAAAAAUCAGACCUCUGAAUGUUGGGAUAGCCCAUUGAGUUCAAUGGAACUUUUUGCAACAUUCUAAAGGAGCUUAGACCUCUGUAUAACAGAUUUUCUAAAACUGAUUGUUCCAAUCCUUGAUUGUGAUUGGCUAAAUCGCGUUCCAUGCCGUUGUAAAAUCCAGCAUAAACUUUCAAGUUGUCCUCAUAACAUUCUAUGAUAACAUUCCAUAUUACUGCGCAUUGAAUAUUUCAAAGAAAGAAAGACGUUACAAAGCUGACGCUAGCCUAGGGGAGAGAGAUUAUGGCGUCGUACUGGCGUCCAAAUUACAGCGAGAGGAAGGAGUGGAGCAACAUCCUUGAAACAUCAUCUGGACCACAAGCGUCAACAUCAAGAUACCCCUGUCGCUGCACCAGCAAAGAGGAGCGCGGUUGAAAACUAUUUCAACAAUUGCACUAUUAAUGGCGAUAUACAAAUGAAUGUGAAUAAAUAAGCACCCCUUUUUUGUCGGUAGCGCAAGUGUUCCCUCUGGCUGUUGCGUGGCAACGAUUUAUUUAGGAACUAUACUUUGUAGUGGCGGAAGAAUGACGGUUUGUUAUUAAACUAUUUUGUUUCUUAAAUGUAAUUGCCGUUAUUUAAUGAAACCAUAUCAGAUAUUUGUAGUGACA